UACGGGGGGAGCAAGCGUUGUUCGGAUUUACUGGGCGUAAAGGGCGCGUAGGCGGUCAGCACAAGUCAGUUGUGAAAUCUCCAGGCUUAACUCGGAAAGGUCAACUGAUACUGUGCGACUAGAGUGCAGAAGGGGCAACUGGAAUUCUCGGUGUAGCGGUGAAAUGCGUAGAUAUCGAGAGGAACACCUGCGGCGAAGGCGGGUUGCUGGGCUGACACUGACGCUGAGGAGCGAAAGCAUGGGGAGCGAACAGG
rnacentral:rRNA from 1 species